GCGGCUUCUCGCUGGACUGCAUGUUCCCGGCCGCUUAGAAGCCGAAGCCUUAUGCACCGAUCUCCCACGUCACGGCCGUGGCUAGCCAAUCACCGUCUCGCUGCCCUCCUCCCACCUCAGCAACUCAUUAAGCAUCCUUCCCAAGCUGGGAUGGUACAGUAAGACCCAUUUAUAGAGAAUAAGAGGAAGCGACCCAUUAUCAAAAUUGUUAGGUAAUGCCAUAUUUUCAUUUUUUUUUUAAAUUAUUAUUUGGUAAGGUAUUUGAAGUGCACUUCGGGGGAAGAGAUGGCUAAGGAACAGGAGUGGCGGUAGUGGUUUAUGAGCGAUAGCUCCCAAGUUGCACCCAGCAGAGAGACACACACACACAGAGAGAGUGAUAAAACUGGUGAAGAUGACUGGAGAGAAGCUGUUGAAGGAUCUAGAUGAGAACUACACAGCGUAGGAGGCAUGAAAUAUGAGACCAACGUAGCCCUGAACAGCUCUCUGUAACAUUAGUUCAUACUAGUAGGACCUUCAUUAAACCUUGUUAAAAAUCGGGGUUGGCUUGAUUCUGUUUAGAAGCAAAACUGAACUCUCGUGAGCAGUUUUCCAAACAAGCACGUUUCUGUGAUGACCAUGAAAUUACCAUCUGCUUUUCUGAUAGCACUUUUCUAACAGAGAGAGCUGCGUGUGUGCUGUAUUUGAUUAGGAUAGGUGGAAGUAUAAUGCUCAAGAUUCUGAGUAAUAUGUAAACAUUUACAUUUACCUACCAAUGUGUUUCUUCCAUUUUGAUUAAAUAAAACCUUUGUUUCCUUAAUUAGUUAAUGUUUGUUACUUGAGAAAGAGGGGUGAAGGAAAUUCAGUUUAACACAUGAUAAUUAAUAAAUAAUGAAUAAAACUGGAUUUUUCAAACUUCA